rnacentral:rRNA from 1 species
GGGCCCGCACAAGCGGUGGAGUAUGUGGUUUAAUUCGAUGCAACGCGAAGAACCUUACCAGGGCUUGACAUCCUGCGAACCUCUGGGAAACCGGAGGGUGCCUUCGGGAACGCAGUGACAGGUGGUGCAUGGCUGUCGUCAGCUCGUGUCGUGAGAUGUUGGGUUAAGUCCCGCAACGAGCGCAACCCACGUCUUUAGUUGCCAGCAUUUAGUUGGGCACUCUAGAGAGACUGCCGGUGAUAAACCGGAGGAAGGUGUGGAUGACGUCAAGUCAUCAUGCCCCUUACAUCCUGGGCUACACACGUACUACAAUGCUACGGACAAAGGGCUGCAAGUUCGCGAGGACAAG